rnacentral:rRNA from 1 species
GCUGGCGGCGAUGCGUUUAGGGGAAACACCCGUACCCAUCCCGAACACGAAGGUUAAGCCUUAAGCGGCCGAUGGUACUACACUGGUAACGGUGUGGGAGAGCAGGUGGCUGCCAGCA